AACGUCGCCGCUGAUGGUUCGGCCGGCUGCCUGCAAAGCAACUCGCUUGUGGGUUCGACUCCCGCCGACGUUU
rnacentral:tRNA from 1 species